rnacentral:misc_RNA from 1 species
GAUGAAGAACGUAGCGAAAUGCGAAAAGUAAUGUGAAUUGCAGAAUUCAGUGAAUCAUCGAAUCUUUGAACGCACAUUGCGCCCGCUGGUACUCCGGCGGGCACGCCUGUCCGAGCGUCAUUUCAACCCUCAAGCCCUCCUUCGGGAUGGGCCUGGUGUUGGGGCUCGGCCGCAUCUCCGGCGGCCGUCCCCUAAAUACAGUGGCGGUCACGUCGCGACUCCUUUGCGUAGUAGAAACACCUCGCUCCGGAUAGCAACGCGGUCCACGCCGUAAAACCCCCAAUUUUCAAUGGUUGACCUCGGAUCAGGUGGGAAUACCCGCUGAACUUAAGCAUAUCAAUAAGCGGAGGA